CCCGAUGGAGGGGGAUAACUACUGGAAACGGUAGCUAAUACCGCAUAACGUCGCAAGACCAAAGUGGGGGACCUUCGGGCCUCACACCAUCGGAUGUGCCCAGAUGGGAUUAGCUAGUAGGUGGGGUAAUGGCUCACCUAGGCGACGAUCCCUAGCUGGUCUGAGAGGAUGACCAGCCACACUGGAACUGAGACACGGUCCAGACUCCUACGGGAGGCAGCAGUGGGGAAUAUUGCACAAUGGGCGCAAGCCUGAUGCAGCCAUGCCGCGUGUAUGAAGAAGGCCUUCGGGUUGUAAAGUACUUUCAGCGGGGAGGAAGGCGGUGAAGUUAAUAGCUUCACCGAUUGACGUUACCCGCAGAAGAAGCACCGGCUAACUCCGUGCCAGCAGCCGCGGUAAU
rnacentral:rRNA from 1 species